UACGUAGGGGGCAAGCGUUGUCCGGAAUCAUUGGGCGUAAGAGCGUGUAGGCGGCCCGAUAAGUCCGCUGUGAAAGUCCAGGGCUCAACCCUGGGAUGCCGGUGGAUACUGUCGGGCUCGAGUCCGGAAGAGGAGUGUGGAAUUCCGUGGUGUAGCGGUGAAAUGCGCAGAUAUCAAGGAAGAACACCCGUGGCGGAAAGCGGCUCUCUGGGACGGUACUGACGCUGAGACGCGAAAGCGUGGGGAGCGAACAGG
rnacentral:rRNA from 1 species